GCUUACGGCCAUACCAGCCUGGGUACGCCCGAUCUCGUCUGAUCUCGGAAGCUAAGCAGGGUCGGGCCUGGUUAGUACCUGGAUGGGAGACCGCCUGGGAAUACCAGGUGCUGUAAGCA
rnacentral:rRNA from 1 species